UGGGGAAUAUUGCACAAUGGGCGAAAGCCUGAUACAGCAACGCCGCGUGAGUGAUGAAGGCCUUCGGGUUGUAAAGCUCUGUCUUUUGGGACGAUAAUGACGGUACCAAAGGAGGAAGCCACGGCUAACUACGUGCCAGCAGCCGCGGUAAUACGUAGGUGGCAAGCGUUGUCCGGAUUUACUGGGCGUAAAGGAUGCGUAGGCGGAUUUUUAAGUGAGAUGUGAAAACCCUAAGCUUAACUUGGGGACUGCAUUUCAUACUGGAAAUCUAGAGUGCGGGAGAGGAGAAUGGAAUUCCUAGUGUAGCGGUGAAAUGCGUAGAGAUUAGGAAGAACACCAGUGGCGAAGGCGAUUCUCUGGACCGUAACUGACGCUGAGGCAUGAAAGCGUGGGUAGCAAACAGGAUUAGAUACCCUGGUAGUCCACGCCGUAAACGAUGAGUACUAGGUGUAGGAGGUAUCGACCCCUUCUGUGCCGCAGUUAACACAAUAAGUACUCCGCCUGGGAAGUACGAUCGCAAGAUUAAAACUUAAAUGAAUUGACGGGGUCAUAGUUGUUU
rnacentral:rRNA from 1 species